GAUGAACGCUGGCGGCGUGCCUAAUACAUGCAAGUCGAGCGAACAGACGAUGAGCUUUCUCCUCUGACGUUAGCGGCGGACGGGUGAGUAACACGUGGAUAACCUACCUAUAAGACUGGGAUAACUUCGGGAAACCGGAUCUAAUACCGGAUAAUAUAUUGAACCGCAUGGUUCAAUAGUGAAAGACGGUUUUGCUGUCACUUAUAGAUGGAUCCGCGCCGCAUUAGCUAGUUGGUAAGGUAACGGCUUACCAAGGCAACGAUGCGUAGCCGACCUGAGAGGGUGAUCGGCCACACUGGAACUGAGACACGGUCCAGACUCCUACGGGAGGCAGCAGUAGGGAAUCUUCCGCAAUGGGCGAAAGCCUGACGGAGCCAUGCCGCGUGAGUGAUGAAGGUCUUCGGAUCGUAAAACUCUGUUAUUAGGGAAGAAAAAAUGUGUAAGUAACUAUGCACGUCUUGACGGUACCUAAUCAGAAAGCAACGGCUAACUACGUG
rnacentral:rRNA from 1 species